AUGCCAUCACCAUGGCAGCUGCCACAUCAGUGGUUUCCUGCAUGGAAAAUCCGGCAACUGCAACAGGGAUCACGGCUCGGUCUGCUGCAAAGACGGCACUGCUACCCGCAGUUCAGGUGCUCACCCCCGGUGUCGGCCGACAUGCCAGCGAUCCUGACUCUGAACAGCUUCGCACGAGGUGAAGACAGAGGCGGCAAAUCGUUCUGCGACAACCUCUACCACAAGGACAGCGAGCUGGUGGUGGCGCUGUCCACGGGGUGGAUGCGCCUUGACGGCAAGCUAAUGUGCAACAAGAUGAUCCACAUCAACGGGAAUGGGCGGGCCGUCCUGGCCAAGGUCGUCGACGAGUGUGACUCCGUGUACGGUUGCGACGCAGAGCACAACUUUAAGGCGCCGAGACCAUACAACGAUGUGGACGCGUCGCCAACGGUGUGGAAGGCGCUGGGGCUCAAGAAGAAGAUUGGAGUGUUCAAGAUCACUUGGUCUGAUGUAUGA
rnacentral:rRNA from 1 species